UACGAAGGGUACGAGCGUUAUUCGUUUUGAUUGGGUGUAAAGGGUACGUAGGCGGCUUUUAGUUUUUUGGCUCAAAUUGCGGAGUGUUCCUACGCAGUCAGUCUUUGAAAAAGAAAGCUUGUGUUGAUGAGAGGUUUAGGCAAGUUCGUACAGUAGGGGUAGAAUCCACCGAUAUACGAACGAACGCCAGCUGGCGGAGGCGCUUUUCCCGUUUCAACAGACGCUCGGGUGCGGAAGCUUAGGUAGCAAACAGG
rnacentral:rRNA from 1 species